ACUCAAAUGAAUUGACGGGGGCCCGCACAAGCAGCGGAGCGUGUGGUUUAAUUCGACGCAACGCGCAGAACCUUACCAGGGCUUGAAAGGCACGCGACCGGAGCUGAAAGGCUCUUUUCCGCAAGGACGCGUGUACAGGUGUUGCAUGGCUGUCGUCAGCUCGUGCCGUGAGGUGUUGGGUUAAGUCCCGCAACGAGCGCAACCCCCGUGGCUAGUUAGGCUGUCUAGCCAGACUGCCGGGAGGAACCCGGAGGAAGGCGGGGAUGACGUCAAGUCGGCACGGCCCUUACGUCCUGGGCUACACACACGCUACAAUGGCCGGCACAACGGGCUGCGAGAGCGCAAGCUGGAGCCAAUCCCUGUAAAGCCGGUCGUAGUUCAGAUUGGGGGCUGCAACUCGCCCCCAUGAAGUCGGAGUUGCUAGUAACCGCUGGUCAGCACACAGCGGUGAAUAUGUACCCGGGCCUUGCACACACCGCCCGU
rnacentral:rRNA from 1 species